CCAAUCAGAGCAAUUAAAACGCAACCUGUGCGAGGCGAACGAUGGCGUUCAGACGGUUCCCGUUUUGUUCAUUUUCUUUAGUUACAGUUUCAAAAGGCCCAUCAGGUAACGUCCUUUCCAGCCCCAGGAUGUGUUCCAUUCACGGGCUCCCCACACCAGGAUCCGAAGUAAUGGUAGACAUCAGGAGGGUAAAUCCGAACCCAAACUGCGGUCUCGUGGAGCUUUGGGUUAACAUUGUCGGCACUAAGCACACUUAUGAGCCGUCGAAGGAGCGCGCACCACUUCCGAAAAAUAAGUUUUGCGGCUCUGGGGGAAAGACGGGGGAUCUGUGUCUGGUCUGCAUUGCCGACAUGUGGCACAGGGCUCGCAUCGUGUCCAUCAAAAGUGACACAUGUGAAGUCUUCCUUAUCGACCAAGGACAGCCUCAUGUCAGCACAUGGGAUGCUCUGGCAUGGGGUGAGUCUGACAGCUUCUUCCUUCCUCCUGAAAUUGAGUCCUGUAUCCUCGCCAACGUCCUUUCUCUCAAGGAGAAGUGGUCCAAAAAAGCUUCCGAGUUCUUGACGUUCCUGGCUGGAAAGACUCUGAAAGGUGUGGUCCAGCACGUCUUGAUGCCAAACAGGACUAUUCUCCUUGACAUACCCUUAGUCUCUAAGCAAAUGUGCACCAUUGGCGCUAUGAGGAAGAUCCCGGCGGAUGACUUCAAAGGAGUUGUAAUUGAAUGCCUGACUUCGCCCAAAGAAGAUUUACAAGAGGAAGACUUGUCGAAUACAGAGAAUGGAGUGCAUACUGGCAACGCUGACACUCUUCCCUCCUCUGAUCCUGGGGAUUUUAACGCCAUAGAUUGCCAACGUCUUUCUCAAAGCUUUCAUCGAGAACACGUGUUGUCUGUUGGAACUACUGUUGAUGUGACUGUAUCCUGUGUCAAAGGUCCUCAGAAAUUCUGGUGUCAGAACACUAAAAACGGAGAGUCUCUGCGGCAGCUGAUGGAAGGCCUCCAAAGCCACUACAACUCCGACCGCCCUCUGCCAAUCGUCGAGCUCGCCUGUGUCACUCGAAACCCGGAUGACGGUAUGUGGUACCGGGCGAAGAUCGUUACGAGCCGCCAUCCCCCUGAAGUAGACGUGCAGUUUUUGGAUUACGGCGGUACACGAAGGGUGCCCCUUGGAGAUGUCUUUCCAAUUGACCCUGCAUUCCUGGAGCUGGAAGCGCAGGCCUUUCAGUGUUGCCUAGUCAACUCAAAGGCGAAUUCUUCUUUGACUGCUUCUGCGUCAGCCGAGUUUCAAAGGUUCUUGACGGCAGGUGAUUCUCAACACACUGGAUUCAAAUGCGUUGUGAAAGACAGAACUUGUGAUGAAGAGGGCAGGCCGUUGCAUGUGGUAGAUCUUGAAACUGCAUCCCAAAGUCCUUGUAAUGUGCUCUCUCUUCUUCCUAUGGAUACUUAUAAUUAUUCCACAUAUGAUAUGGAAUUGGGCACAAAAGAGAAGGCGUGGGUAACUUCUUCAGAGACUGUACAUAAUUUCUUCUGCCAGCUGAACAAAAAUUCUUAUUUGUUUAACAGAGUCAUGGCAGAUAUUCACCAGCUAGUCAGGAAGUCACAGUGCUCAAGUAACCUCGUCGGAUGUCAUGCCCUUUGCCUUGCACGGUAUUCUGACAAUGAAUGGUACAGAGGAAAAGUGGUGCAGACAUCCCCAGAACUCAAGGUCCUCUUUGUGGACUAUGGCGACACCCUCGCAGUGAAUGCCUCUGAUGUUCGACUUUGGCCUGCCAGUGUAAGCGUGGCAAAGUCCAUCCCUGUACUGGCUGUUGCGCUCGGACUUUUUGGUGUUCCGGCUGAGGUGCCGCAAGAGGUCAACCAGUGGUUUGCAGACCUUUCCAUCGGUUUAAGUGUGACUGUUUCUGUGGUGGACAAAGAUGACGGGGGGAAGCUAAUGGUGGAACUAUUUGAAGGGCUGCUCAACGUCAAUGUAAUUGUCCGAGAGAAGGUAGCGCACGCGAAACGAGCAAAGACCAGCCAGGAUCCACAGGCCAACAAGGACGUCUGCUCAAAACAGGUCACCACACAAGAUGAGGACUUUUUAACUGAAGAACUCUCAUAUGUGUCAAAAUUAAAUCAAGAUAAAGAUCAAAACGGCAAGGCAGUAUGUGCUCCAGACGGGCCAUGGUUGGAGAGGCCUCCGUACCAAACUCUUACAGCUAUACCGGAGUCUGAACAUGAAAAGAUACUCAACGAGGAAAGCACACAACCUUUGAUUGUCAGUCCAAAAGUUUUGGCAGAGACCCCAGAAGACAUCCGUCCGAAUGAUGCUGAAAGGUUAGGACCUGAGAGGAACUUUGCAUAUCACACGCCAUUCAUAUCUCGCCACAAGUCUGAGGAGGUGUACGCUUCCUGCAUUGUCGGACCCAGUUACUUCUGGUGUCAGUUUGCCCACACUGAAAACCUGAAUGCUGUGUUCACACAUUCCCAGAGCAUUGGAAAGGCUCUACAGGACACUGAGAUUCCCGAGAGUUUGAAUCCCGGCACGCCGUGCCUUGCCCUCUUUCCUACUGACUCACAGUGGUAUCGCGCUCAAGUGGUUCGGAGGAACGACAGCACGGUCUGCGUCCUGUUUGUGGACUAUGGAAAUGAGUCUGAGGUGGACAUGAAAGAUUUGAGAUACCUCCCGUGUUCUCUGAUUGAAUAUCCACCUCAGGCCUUUUUGUGCUCUCUGGAUGGAUUUGAUGAGUCUAAGGGAUCCUGGGAUGAUCAGGUUUACGACAAUUUCUACAAUCUCCUGGUGGAUAAGCCCCUUGCUGUUACUGUGUUUUCAAAGUGUCCCAUUUCUUGUGCAGCUCUCUAAAGUUCAAUGGCCGUUGUUGUCAAGCGAUCGAGUGUCUUCAUCAGUCAGCGACAUCCUGAGAUUGUCUGGAAGAAAACUUUUGAACAUACAGCACUAAAGCGCUAGCUGCUGGCAUAGAACAAUUAUGUAAAUUCGGCAAGCUGAAUGGAUUCUGUACAUUACAGGACACAUGGCAUGGAGGAGAUUGAUUGACUACAGUCCCUUAGCCAAUCGGGGUGCAGAAAACUGUGGGUUUACCCUUACAGAAUCAAUGCGCAUUCAUUCACUCUUACAGCAGAUGGCAGCGUUGCUGUUAGGAUUUGUUUUUUGUGUGUGUGUAUGCCUGCACUUGUACAUGCAUUCGGUGUUGACCACAGUUGCUAUGCAACCAGCCGCGAAAGCAUGUCAGAGUUGGAUCAGGCGGCUACAGCAGAGGACUUCGAUCGGAUCCAGGAGAUUCUCAGGUACAAGAAUUGCGACCCCAAGGAAGCGAGACGUGGAGUGAGGUAACAAGACUCCUCUGCCCUGGGCUGCAAUUGAAGGAGAUGCGGAAACUGCAAGGAUUCUCAUCGAGCACGGAGCCCGGCCCUGGCUGACGACAGAGAUCGGCCCAGUAUGCGGCAGAGGCAGGUUCCUUGGCUGUCUUGAGGCUCCUUUAACGCCCCCGUGGACAAGGAGGACCGGCACGACUUGGCCAAAUCUGUGGACACCAUGAGUGUGUGGCUUUCCUCAAGAAGUAAGAUGGGGACUGACUUUUCCACCAAACUAAAUCCGGUCGUCGGGUCUCAGUCCAUGUUGUUAGGUUCUUGUAGUGCAUCGGUUCCACAAUCUGUUUUAUAAGAUAAAUGCAAUGACAGUUGGUUUGUUUGGAAUUUUAUACUUGUGACUGGAUCAUUUUGUUUCAAGUGUGCCUUCUUGUUCCAUCAAAAAUCAGUUUUUAAACAUUUUCUUUAAUUUUUUUCCAAGGUUUCCCCCACAAGAUCAUGAAACAAAUGUAAAUAUCAGACAAAGAUAACCCAAGUAAACAGUUUUUAAAUUGGGAUUUUUGUCUAUGAAAGAAAAAUAUUAAAAUGUUAGUUGGCCCUGUGUUGAAAAAGUAAUGGCACCAUUCUGACUUUGUCACUGUUUUAGUUGGAGGGGCAGCGGUGGAAGG